rfam:Garciella nitratireducens DSM 15102 genome assembly, contig: BP36DRAFT_scaffold00003.3
UGGCUGGUAUCCUAAAAGGGAACUAGACAAAUUUAAUAUAAAUAAUAAAAAUUCGACUGGUAUCUCAGAAGAACCAGAACGGAGG